rnacentral:lncRNA from 1 species
UUUAAUUAUUCAAAUAACACUAUUAUAAAUUUGACUUCAUUUAUACUAAGCAGAGAUUUAUGAUUCAAAUUAGCUAUACUUUACACAAGACAACCAAACAUAAGGCAAUCAUACACCGUCAACAAAUUGUAACAACAUUUCAACUUGUUGAAGGUGAGAUCAUGACCACUUUAUAUUAUAUUCUAAAGAAGCAAACACAUACAUACUAGUAUAUGCUUCUUAUACAUUAAAUGUGUACUCAAACACACAAUUUCACAUAUUGAUUCCAUUAUUAUCUCUGCUUCAAGCUUUCAUAUGUUGCAUCUCACUUACAGUUGCAAGGGUCACAUGUGCAGCUUGAUCCACACUUGCAACCACUGUCCUCACCUGCAACACCCAUUUCAGCACCCUCAAAUUGGAUCUUCGCCGGACCAACGCCCAGAAUCACAGUUUCUGUGGUUUCCACUUCCACAUAGCUCAAUCCACUAGACCUCUUGUUGCAUCUNNNNNNNNNNNNNNNNNNNNNNNNNNNNNNNNNNNNNNNNNNNNNNNNNNNNNNNNNNNNNNNNNNNNNNNNNNNNNNNNNNNNNNNNNNNNNNNNNNNNNNNNNNNNNNNNNNNNNNNNNNNNNNNNNNNNNNNNNNNNNNNNNNNNNNNNNNNNNNNNNNNNNNNNNNNNNNNNNNNNNNNNNNNNNNNNNNNNNNNNNNNNNNNNNNNNNNNNNNNNNNNNNNNNNNNNNNNNNNNNNNNNNNNNNNNNNNNNNNNNNNNNNNNNNNNNNNNNNNNNNNNNNNNNNNNNNNNNNNNNNNNNNNNNNNNNNNNNNNNNNNNNNNNNNNNNNNNNNNNNNNNNNNNNNNNNNNNNNNNNNNNNNNNNNNNNNNNNNNNNNNNNNNNNNNNNNNNNNNNNNNNNNNNNNNNNNNNNNNNNNNNNNNNNNNNNNNNNNNNNNNNNNNNNNNNNNNNNNNNNNNNNNNNNNNNNNNNNNNNNNNNNNNNNNNNNNNNNNNNNNNNNNNNNNNNNNNNNNNNNNNNNNNNNNNNNNNNNNNNNNNNNNNNNNNNNNNUUCCCGUCAAAACGGGUAUGGUUUGGGUGGGUACCCGCGGGUAUGAGUUUUAUUGCCAUGCCUGGCUGCGCAGCUUGUUGUCCGUCUACUUUUUGUUCAUGUGUCUAAAAUUAAUUAAUUUUUAAAAAUUUGAGAUUUAAAAUAAAACAUGUUUUUAACUUUUGGCCAGCUAAACUUAUAUAAUUUUAAUACUAUCAAAAAGUUAAUAAAGAUAUGAGAAAAAAAGAAUACUAUGUACUAAGUUUUGUUUACUAAAACUUUCUUCUUUGUUUUCAUAUUUUUUCUUUAUUAAAUUAUUAUACAUUUUAGAUUUAGUCCUUUUGAUGUUUGACUCUGUUAUGCUAAUAUUUCAUUUUCAAUUGACUUUUUCUUUACACAAAAUUCAAAAGUCGAAUCCUUAAUCAAUUAUUUAAAGUAUGUUUCAAGUUUCUAUUGAUAUUUUUGAAGAGAUUUACAUAAAUAAGAUGAAAAACACACGAUCAUAUCAUGAUUUAGUUGUUGAACUUUAUUUUUUAAACCUCAUAAAAUAAAUAUAAAUAACCCCCUUCUAAACACAUUAAAUUUCAUCAAAAUCAUCGGCUAAACACCCAUCUACGGUAUAAUAUUUUAUUUUAUUAUAUCUAUAUAUCUUUGCCAUGAAAAAAAAUCAACUAAGUACUCAAAUAGACAAAUAAAUUAUAAAAAGUAAUAUACUUUAAAACUUAUCAAGAUCGGUAGAAAGAAAAAUAAAACAUCAAAUUCAUAGAACCCAGCUAAAAGGGUACCAAAAAAACCAAUAAAAAUAUUUAGAAAAAUCUUCAAGAAUCUUAAGAUAAAAAAAUAAACACACAAAUACUUGUAUAGAAACAAAUUUGAAAAUAACAAAUUAAGAAUUGAUUAAGGUGGUUGAUCCUUACUUGCAACUAUCACCACAAUUACAACUGCUUCCACAAUUACAGCUAGACAUAUUCAGUUAUUCACCACACAACUUGCAAAGCAAAGAACAAUAUUGAUUGGUGGUUGUGUUACCUUCGCAAAAGUUUAUGUCAUUUUAAUGAUGUCCGUGACCCCAAUUUAUAAGGUGGGAGGGAAUAAAAUGUGAAAUCUUGACCAUCCACGUGUUGUAAUCUUGUGUUACCCGGGUCCAAAACUUACCCUUAGCGAUAAAAUUGGAAUCAGAUUAAGUGCAGUUGUGACUGACUGUAUGCAAUUAUGCAGUCAACUAUUGUGAACCGUCUGAUCAAAAUUAGACGGUUUAAGAUUUUAAAACAAUUUUUUUAUUUUAGUUUAAUAUAAAAUUCUGAUGUGAUAUCUAACUGAACUGUCUGAUCAUAAUCAUAUGACUUAAAACUACUAACUGCAUGACCACACAUACCUUUGAAUUUACUGAAUUCGGGUCUGAUAAAAUUGUUGCUUUGCUUACUCUAAUUAGUCAAAUGUAGGGGUGACUAUAUUUAUGUUUAGUCGUGGAAUGAGAAAAAUUGUCUUUAAAUAAAUUAUUUUUAAUUAAAUUUUGAGUUGAAGAUACUCCUUCAUUUAAUAUAAUAUUUUUCAUGAUUCAAAUUUUCAUUGAUACUAUUGGCCGAAUUUUUUGGGAAUCUACCUUUUUGAAAACAAAUUUAUCAAGAGUUACUUGUUGUGAUUUUAUUAGCUCUUCAUUUUUUUCUUUUCUUUUUUCAUUAUUAGAUAAUGUUUCUUAUAAUGACCAACGAGUUCUAAGCUUCAAAUAGGAACAUAAAAAUGUCAAGUAGCAAAUAGUAGCAGCAGGAGCACAUGUGAAGUAGAAUAUUGACUUCAAAGAAAAAUUGGAAAACGCGAGAAUUAGAAAACUACAACCACAAAACAAAUUUAACAGGAACAAAGACAAAAGUCUUGCCGUCGUUUGGUUUUUAUUCUGGAGAGUUCUAUUUUGAUAAUCCUAACAAUUAUGUUUAAUCACUUUUUCUACUAAUUGGGCAUCACUCCCUUAUUUAGUAGGUAUUAAAAUAAAGCAUAAUAAAAAAAAUUGCGCCCUUUAAAAUUAUGGGUCUUAGGCAGGGCCGGUCCCGACAAUUUGGAGGCCCGGCUCNNNNNNNNNNNNNNNNNNNNNNNAUUUAGAAAGAAUAAUUUUUAUUUAAAUUGUAAAUAACAUUAAUGACAUAAAAAAUUGUCAUCCUUAUAACUAACAUACAAAAUAUUCAUAUUUUAAUUAAUCACAACAAAAUACAUUUUAACUACGUAAGUGCAACACUUAACUUCUAUAACAGUUUUUGAAGUAAAUUCAUCGAAACAAAUCUUCAUAUUGUAUUUUUUUUGUUCACUUUAUGUUUUUUCCGGAAGCUUAGCCAUUUUAGUUGGGCCUUUGAAAUUAUUUUUUAACAAAGACAGGUUAAAAAAAAUAUUGAGUUCUUAUUUUAUUUUUGUGAAUAAAUUGUUUUCAUAAUUUUGCAGAGAUCUACUAUCAUAUAAAUUUUUGUUGAGGCCCCGAUAAAACUGAGGCCCGGCUACGUAGCACACCCUGCACAUGCUAGUAGCCGGCACUGGUCUUAGGCCAUGAUACCCAUUACCUUAGCUCAGUGUCGGACCUGAAUAGAACCAAACAUACUUACCGUCGUGUUCGUUUUGUUCUUUCCUUCCUCUAUUUCUCCGAAAUUUUUGAAUAAACAAUUAUUUUAAUAAUGACCAACGAGUUUUUUAACUGAUAUUUUGUUAGUCUUUGAUAGAAAAAAAAACAAAAUAUCUUUGUCAAGGAUAUCUAAUGUCACACGGAUAAUUUAUUUUAAUAUUUUAGGUUAAAUUAAUUACCUAGUCUCUAUAGUUUAGGAUGAUCACGGUUUGGUUUAAGACAAAAAGUCGUUGAUUUAAAGUUUUAAAAUAGCAUGUGGUCGGUUGGAAUAUUGUUUCUUUUAAAAAAACUCGAAUAUGAUACUAUCCAAUAUUAUAAGGCUAGCUUCCUCAAUCCUCACCUUCUUCUUUACAAAAUUUAGCCAAUUUUGUCAUUUCCUUCAUCAUUAAAUCGGAAGCAUUUGAUUUGUUGCUUAUGCAAAUUAAAUAGAUAAUGAGGAAUGAAAACUUCUUUGCCACUUCUACUCCGAAAACUUCAUCACGCUGAACCUCUGUGUCUAUAUGGUUACCGUCUUACUUUACCAAGAUCCUUUGUUUCGACUCAACACACCUCACUGUCGAACCAUAAAUUAUUAUACUCUCGUUCACAUCUUUGUCAAAUCCUUAAUCCUUUGUUUCAACUCAACACUUCAUUCUCCAUUGAUCUAACUUAAAUUUCAUUACGUCUCUCCCAACUCAGUAAGAAACUUACAGUUGAACUCUAAAUUUGUGCUCUGAGUAUAUUUAUUCGAUUCUUUCGUUUAGAAUUAAUUAAUUGUGUUUUUAGUACAAAAAAACACUUGUACUAAAAACAAAUACAUAAUUAAUUUAUAAGCCAACAUAUUUCAUCAUCAUAUAUACAAAAAAUAAAAUCCAUUAGAGUGUUAAUUAAAACCAAACUUCCAUUUAUAAUAUGCAGAGAUUUAUGAUUCAAAUUAGGUAUAGUUUACACAAGCCAACCAAACACAAAGCAACCACAUAGCUCUCAUAACACCUUCAACAAAAUCUAAGAAUAUUUCAAUUUGUUGAAAGUGAGAUCCAUGAACACAUUAUAUUAUUAUUCUAUAAAAGCAAACACAUACAUACUAGUAUAUGCUUCUUAUACAUUAAAUGUGUACACUCAUACACACAAUUAUACAUAUUGAUUUCAUUAUUAUCUCUGCUUCAAACUUUCAUAUGUUGCAUCUCACUUGCAGUUGCAAGGGUCACAUGUGCAGUUUGAUCCACACUUGCACCCACUUUCCUCAGCUGCAACACCCAUUUCAGCACCCUCAAAUUGGAUCUUUGCCGGACCAACGCCGAGAAUCACGGUUUCUGUGGUUUCCACUUCCACAUAGCUCAAUCCACUUGACCUCUUGUUGCAUCUGCGAAGCAAUAAAAUUUAAUUAUACACAUGAAGUGUGAAAAAUUAUGGAUAAUUUGAUUUGAAAAUAAAAGGUUCUCAUGAGACCUUUAAAACAAAGUGUUACAAAAAAAAUUGAAUUAGUCAUUAAUAUUUGAGAUUAAAAAAAAAAAAUUUAAUUAAUGGCCGGCUAAGUGAAGGAACAUAUCUUGAACUAAUUUUUCGAAUUUUAUCAAACACUAAUUAAAUAAAUAUAAAUAUCCCCAAACAUGCUCAAUAAAUUAUAGAAACAUAAAAUUUUAAAAGAACCUAGCCAAAAGGGGUAGUCAAAAAAUGAAUCAAAAUAUUUUUUUAAAAGGAUUCCAAAAAUCACAAGAUCAAAGUAAACACACAUAAUUUUGUAAAAAAAAAUUAGAAAGCAACAAAUUAAGAAUAUUUAAGGUGGUUGAUUCUUACUUGCAGCUAUCGCCACAAUUGCAACUGCUUCCACAAUUACAGCCUGACAUAUUUUCUCACAAACAAAUAUUUGCAAAGCAAAGAACAAUUAAUAUUAUCGGUUGGUUGAUUCUUCACUACAAUUGAUGUCUUUCAAUGAUGUUGGUGACCCCAAUUUAUAAGGUGGAAGAGAAUAAUUAGUGAAAUCUUGACCAUCCAUGUGUUGUAAUCUUGUGUUUACUGGGUCCAUUACCCUACCAGUGAAAUAAUUCCACGUAGACAUCGUUUUCAUCGCACGUAUUCUUGUGGUGUGCAAAUUGUUGCAUGCUUGCUAGUUGCUCCUUCCAAGUCAAUUGUAGUGUGAUUCUUUCGUGAUCGUUUUGUUAAAUAUUAUAGAAAUGAUUACUUUGUUUGAAUAAAUAAGUAAUGGAUUUAAAGGAUAUAUAUACGGUCAAUAUAAAAUAAUUUUACAAAAUCAUCUAAUAAAAAUUGUAUUUGAAAGUUAUUUGAGUUUGUAACAAUUAUUUAUUUCAUUUAAAUUAUUUAUUCUGGAUAAAGGAAAUAUUUUAACAAUAUUGUUGGAUAGUGAGCAUCUAGUGUCACCAACAAUAGAUUGUUUUAAGGGGUAAAGACUUUUGCAAGUUGAGGGAAGGAAAGGGGUGAUCCCUUAGGCUUAAUCUCUCAAAUGGGUUGACUCAGUCGAGUCCGGUGGACCAGUCAAAAUAAAAGGAUUGGAUUAAUCUAAUCCGAUUAUUAUUGGGCUAGCAACUAUUAAGUUCGGUCCGACCUUGGUGUGCUAAUGAGCCAGAUCGACCCAUUUCAUUUAACUUUUGUUUUUUCUUUUUAUUCAAUAUUUUUUAUGUCAUUUUGCUAUAUUAGUUCUUCAUAAUUAUCAAUUUUAUUGAGAUAUUAUUUGAUGCAAGUGUAAAUAAUUUUUACAUCAACACUAAAUAUCAAUUAAACUCUAAUUUUAGAUAAAUAUACUCACUUUUAUUAAACUUACUCAUUUAAAUAGAUUUUUAUAAUAAUUUAUCAAUUAAAUGAUAAUUUUUCAUUGAUAUUAUUUCUACAAAAAUCACAUAAAUGUGUUUUUAUCAAUUAAAUGAUGGGCAAAUGGGACAACCCAAAGCCCGACGGGCAAGCCCACUCUGAUGUCCAUAUGAGCUUGGCCCAAAAAAGUCCGAUUGUAUUUUGGGCUAUGUUUUUGAGGCCCAGCCCACCCAAGACCGUGGACUAAUAGGUCGGCCCAUCAGUUCGACCCAUUUUUUUACGGCUAUAUGCUUAAAUGAUACACUGUUUCACGCACCAUUAUAAUCGUAUUCCCCAUAAAAUCGCAUCAGCUUCCAAAAAACUCAAUUAUAAUCUUUGUUGUUUUUUUUAAUGUUUUCAAUAAACUUUUGAUACAUGCAAAGACUUAAAUGACACACUACUUCACGAACCAUUUUCCAAUGCAUCUAUUUUCCAAUUGCAAUAACUUUACAUUUAUUAAUUGUCAUUUUAUUUUCUCAGGAGCUUUAACGACACAAUGUUUAAUUCACGCAUGGUUUUCCAAUGCACACUAGACUUUUACAUAUUCCCAAUGCAACAUAUACUUAAUUCAUGCAUGAUUUUCCAAUGCAUCACUAGACUUUUACAGAUAGCCAAUGUAACAUAAAUUUUUGAAUCAACCUUUAAUAAACGCACAAACUUUAAUAACACGCCAACUAAUGCAUCAUUUUCCAAUGCAUCUUUAAUUUAUAAACUUCUACUCUUCCAAAAUUAGUUUAUAUAUCCACAAUAAAUAUGAACCAAAUGGUCCAUAUGGUUGGUGUAAUCUGCAAUUUAUAAAUCAAUUUUACCAACUUAAUUCAUACUCUUCCAAAAUUAUAUUGAAAUUGCUGUUGCAGAAGAGCAAAUACAUCAACCACAAACAUAGUAUUCGAGUUUGCUUGUCUAUUUGGCCAUCGAUUAGUCUGUUAAUCAUCAUGUUAUUUUUUUUUAUAUGCAUUCUGUGUAAACUCUUGUAGUCUCUUUUGGUCCGUCUUGUAACGAGGAGACCACUCUAUUUUUUUUUUGUUUACAAUGAGUCGAAGAUAGAACCCAUAACCUAUAUCAUACUAUCCAAAUCUCUCACCACUAACCAAACCCAAUGACUUAGGAGAUCGUUGUGGUUUUAAUAUAUAUUCUAUUUUUGCUUGUUAAAAAAAAUUAUACUUAUAAUAUAAUAACAAAACAAAUAACGAUGAAUGAGUGUUUUUAUUUUAAAAAGAAUUCUUUUUCAAUGAUAUUAUUUAGUCCCAAUAGAGUGUUUCCUUACCCCAAAAAAAAAAAGCUUAGAGUGUUUGCGGUACAGUAGCUUAGUAUUAAAAUAAGUAAAUAUGCGAUCCAAGUGGGUUUGAUAUGUUUCUUUUAAACAAUAAAUUAAUGAAAUUGAUCUUACAUGAGCAGAUCAAGAGUGAUAUGUUUGAUAUCAUUCUUUCAUUGUUGUUUACGGAAAAUUUCUUACGUCAAAUUUAGUAUCCAUGAUGUUUACUUGAAAAACUUAUCCUUUUUCAUCAUAGUUGGUGCCGUUUGUGGUGAAUUCGAACAUUUUUUCAAACAGAAACAAUAAUCUUGAUAGAUUUAAACAGAAACAAUAAUCUUGAUAGAUUUAACCAUUAAUAAUCUUGAUAGAUUUAAAUAACAUAUCAAAUAAAUUUUAAUUUUUUUCAUGGAUAAUUUAUAUGGAGUAUAAAUUUUUAACUAUUGAAUGUGUUUUCUCAUUCUCUAUUAGUAUUAUUUUUUUUAUAACCAAAGAGUAUUAUUAUAAGGGAGUACAUGAGGUAUUCAAACCCUUACAAUUGACAUCAAAAAGUCAAGAAUUUUGAAUACAAGACACCAGGUCUAAACACCAACUAGGAAAUGAAAUACAAGCAUUAAACCAUAACGACCAGAAAACCAUAGCCAAGAAAAAAACUUAAUAUCCUCUAAUACAAGUAUUAUUCCUGUAUUUUCAUAUAUUCCAAAUGAUUGCCAACCAAACUAAGUGACGAACCCAUCACUAUCUUUUGCUUUAAGCAGAUCACCAAAUCAAAAAAUGCGAGUUGGUUAAAGAUAGAGAUAAGUGAAUAAUGCAGAGAAUCUAAUUAAAUGUUAUUUACAUACAUUGAUCAACGGAUUAAAGAUUUAUCUACAUAUAAUUACAUAUUUAUAUUAUGUCAAAUAACUGUAUAUCUUUCGAUUAUUGUUACAUAUUUAAAAAUAGAUAUUUUGAUCACAACAAUAUACUAUGAAUUUUUCAAAAAAUUGACCGGAAAAAAUUAAAUAACUAUAAUAAAAGACACAUAUUUAAAGAUCAAAAUAACUAAUGAGGGAUACAUUUAGUGGCUAUUAUAACAAUAUCUCAUGUAUCUAAAAAAUAAAAUCAAAAUAUAGUGGAGGCAUAUAUCUCUUUUAGUAGUAAAAAAAUUUGCUUUCUCAAAAUAAAGUGUGGGUCAUGGCCCACACAUCUAUCAAGCUAGGUUCAUCUCUGCUGUAUAUUAACAUAUACAGCAACCUGCUUGUGAAAUAUGUCUUAUGUUACGGUGAAUUUGUUAAUAAAAGAUUUUUGUUGCUAAAAAAAAUAUGUAUUUUAUGUUAUGAUGAGUUUGUUAAUAAUUUUUUUUAUUGCUACUAAAAAAAUAAAGAGUAUUAUUGGUAUUAUGAAAAGUCGACACUAAAACUUUUGUAUCCACUUUAUAUAUUAAUAAAAAAUAUUAAUGCUAAAAAUAAUAAUUAAGGGUAUUGUUGGUAUCAUGAAAAGUUCACCCAACAGUUUUUGUAUUCUCUUUAUAUAUAGUUUUUGUAUUAUCUUUAUAUAUAGGUAUAGAUCUGUACUAUAUGUAAAGAGAAUUAACAAAUUGACCAUAACAUAAGACAUUUUUUUUUCAUGGAUAUAAGUUAGACACUGGUAGGCGUGAAACGCGCGUAUAGAAUAGAAUAGAUGAUUUUGUUAAUAAAAGAUUUUUGCUGCUAAAAAAAAUGUCUUAUUUUAUGGUGAAUUUGUUAAUAAAAAAUAAAAAAAAUCAAAGGUAUUGUUAGUAUUAUGAAAAGUCCACACAAAAAACAAUGGUGUCCUCUUUAUGUUAUGUAUAGAUUAUUAUUACUAUUAUUAUUAAUAUGGUAAUAAUAAAUUGAUCUAAGUGAUAAAAUAUUUGGUCCCUUAAACAUGUGGUUAGGGAUUUAAUUGUCGGCUCGUAUAUAUUAAAAAAAUUCAAAAAAUAGAAUGUAUCUUGUACUAGGCUAUAUAUGAGGUAGGGGCGAAGAAGACAACUGUCGUAAGCUUAAAAAUCUAUGUCCAAAAUUGGGGUCUUAUAUAUUUAUUAUUCAUUAUAUUGUUGUACGUACAUAUGAUGAUCCUAUUUAAAGUUUAUUUUCAAUAAUUUAUCUAAAGCAUACCAUAAAAAAAAUUAAGUUUAUUUUCAUUGUAAAAAAUGAUAUACAAAUGGUAGUCAUGGUAGUAUGUGGCUUAGCAAGGCUUCGCCAAUUUUUAGCCAUGCUUGUUUUGUUGUUAAUUAGCAACAAUUAUUUAGCGUGGUAACAUCCUGUUAUCCACGAAUAUAAAUAAAAAUCACUUAUUUUGCUACAUGACAACGGUGGCUAAUUGGUUAUAAGAUACAAUUUAAAUGUGAUUACACAUUAAAUCUUUUAAGGAUCAUGGUCUCCCGUGCGUGGAGAACAAUCCUAGAAGUUUGACUCCUGGGAUUCUUUGUUAGGGGAUUAUUUUCUUGCUUAAACAAAUACAAUAAUAAAAAUAAUAAAGAAUAAAAUUUAGCUUCAUUGAGACUUUCAAGAACAAGAUCGUUAUGCUAUUACAAGUGAUGGAAGGAUGGAUAAUGAGAAACUUCUGUUUACAUUGACAAGAACUCAUUUACAUAGGAUACAUGUGUGCCUUGAGGAGUACCCAAGGGUAAUGAAUUAAACUAGGCCUAGAGAAUAGAAUAGGUCCAAGUUGUAUUAAGUGCAGUUUUUAGGUUGAGUUAUGUUUUUCUAGAAGGUUCUUUUUUUUUUGGUGAAUGUUUUUCUAGAAGGUUCUAUUAGGUAUCAAUGCUAUAAAUAAAAGCAAAAUUUGUAAUGGUCAAGCAAAAUCAAAUGAUUUUAAGUAGUCUUUAUUACGUUUUUAUCUUUUUUUAGGAUGUUUCUCUACUCACGAAAUAGAGUAAAUUAAUGAACAAUUAAAGAGUUGUUCAUUACACUAAGCUAUCAAUGGUUGAUUAAAAUAAAAUAAANNNNNGUGUAAGAGUAAAAAAAAAAAAAAACAGCUCAAACAAAUGAGCCUAUGACCAAUGGUGUUUUGGAUUUAAUAAUUUUCACAUAUAUUAUCAAUGAUGGUGAUUGUAACAAUGAAAUGCGGAUUACCAAUAUCUUGACCCAAAAUUAUCCAUCUAAAUUGUUUUUUUCUUUUUUCUGAUUCAAAUAAGUGAUUUUCACAUCUAUUUAAUUUUUUUUUCGUGAUUUUUUGUUUGUCGUCGUCUUGUUCGGUGUUGUGUUUGUAGUCGUCUUGUGUGGCGUUUGUUGGUUUUUCGUUUUGGUACCGUGUUUCGUUGAUUCACAUUGACAUAUGUAGCUCAACUCCUUACAGAUCUGAUGAAGACUUGUAUAUCAACGUUGCAGAUUCGGGAGUAUGAAUAUUUCGGUUACAUUUAUUUUGUCAUAUUUGUAGGCAAUUUCAUGAUGCUGUUGUAUGUUAUUAACCUAGGUGCUGCAAGAUUGUUUGUAGAUUCACCUUUUUCAGUUUUUUGCGAUUUUGAAUUUGUUAUAAUCUAUGUAUAUGAUUCAAUUUGAAUGGAUGAUUAUUUACUUUUAGUAAAAAAAGACAUAUGUGUAACAUCAUCCAAAAAAUGGCAACAACAUCCAAAAAAACUCAAUUAUAAUCUUUGUUGUUUCUUUGAUGUUUUCAAUAAACUUUUGAUAAACACAAAUGCUUAAAUGACGUCCUGUUUCACGCACCAUUAUUAUAGGAUUUUCCAUAAAAUCGGAACAACUUCCAAAAAACUAAAUUAUAAUCUUUGUUGUUUCUUUGAUGUUUUAAAUAAACUUUUGAUAAACACAAAUGCUUAAAUGGCACCCUGUUUCACGCACUUAUAAUCGUAUUUUCCAUAAAAUCGCAGGUACUUCCAAAAAAACCAAUUUUUUGUUGUUUCUUUGAUUGUUCAUUAAUAACAUAUGCGUAACAUCCCGGAUUUUGAUCCAAGAUAUUAUAACCUAAUGCUUUCAUUUUUAAAACAAACAUUUUUUUUUUGCAAAAAAAAAAAUGAUAUUCAUUCAUUCAAAUAAUCGAUAGCGUACAUCAGAUGCAAAUACAAAUUCAACAUUGCUAAAAUCAAAAAAGAAGAAUAUGCGGUCAAACUCACAACAUCCAAGUUAAUAGCAUACAACAACAACAAAAUGCCUAAAAUAAUACGAUAAAAUUAAAGUCAACGGAAUCUCCAUCCAACCAUAGUUUCUCUUCUUUUUCAUCCACCAAAAGAGGGGUGGUUUUAGGGUCAUAUUUUGACCCAAAAUCACCCCUCUAAAUUGUUUUUUUUCUUUCUUUUGAUUCAAAUAAGUGAUUUUCACAUCUAUUUAAUUUUUUUUUCGUUAUUUUUUAUUUGUCGCCGUCUUGUUCGGUGUUGUGUUUGUAGUCGUCUUGUGUGGCGUUUGUUGGUUUUUCGUUUUGGUACCGUGUUUCGUUGAUUCACAUUGACAUAUGCAGCUCAACUCAUUACAGAUCUGAUGAUGACUUGGAUAUCAACGUUGCAGAUUCGGGAGUAUGAAUAUUUCGGUUACAUUUAUUUUGUCAUAUUUGUAGGCAAUUUCAUGAUUCUGUUGUAUGUUAUUAAUCUAGGUGCUGCAAGAUUGUUUGUAGAUUCAUCUUUUUCAGUUUUUGACGAUCUUGAAUUUGUAAUAAUCUAUGUAUAUGUUUCAAUUUGAAUGGAUGAUUAUUUACUUUUAGUAAAAAAAGACAUAUGUGUAACAUCAUCCAAAAAAUGGCAACAACAUCCAAAAAAACUCAAUUAUAAUCUUUGUUGUUUCUUUGUUGUUUUCAAUAAACUUUUGAUAAACCCAAAUGCUUAAAUGGCACCCUAUUUCACGCACUAUUAUAAUCGGAUUUUCCAUAAAAUCGGAAUAACAUCCAAAAAACUAAAUUAUAAUUUUUGUUGUUUCUUUGAUUUUUUAAAUAAACUUUUGAUAAACACAAAUGCUUAAAUGGUGCCCUGUUUCAUGCACUAUUAUAAUCAUCUUUUCCAUAAAAUCGCAGGAACUUCCAAAAAAUUCAAUUAAAAGUUUUGUUGUUUCUUUGAUUGCUCAUUAAUAACAUAUGCGUCACAUCCCGGAUUUUGAUCCAAGAUAUUAUAACCUAAUGCUUUCAUUUUUAAAACAAACAUUUUUUUUUGACAAAAAAGAAAACAAUAUUCAUUCAUUCCAAUAAUCGACAGCGUACAUCAGAUGCAAAUACAAAUUCAACAUAGCUAAAAACAAAAAGGAAGAAUAUGCGAACAAACACACAACAUCCAAGUUAAUAGCAUACAACAACAAAAUGCCUAUAAAUAAUAUGAUAAAAUUAAAGUCACCGGAAUCUCCAUGCUUCCGGAUCUGCAACGUUGAUGCUGAAAUCAUUGAUGCAAUCUGCAAUUGAUUCAAGUUGAUCUUUCAAUAUGAACGAACAAACACCGCAACAAGACGAGAAAUCAACAACGCCAUACCAACACGACGACCAACAAAACGCCGCACUCUGACGACGACAAAACAAAUACAAAAGAAAGCAACUAAAAAACUCAAUCUAUGUGAAAAUCACUUAUUUAGAUUAAAAGCAGGAAAGAAAAAAAUGCAAAUGGGUGAUUUUAGUCCAUAAUGACCUAAAACCACCCCUCACCGGUAAAGGAGGAAGAAGAAAACUCAAAAAGAAUAGAAAUUAGGGCCAGCUGACAAACACACACACACACA